AUUGAACGCUGGCGGCAUGCCUUACACAUGCAAGUCGAACGGUAACAGGUUAAGCUGACGAGUGGCGAACGGGUGAGUAAUGUAUCGGAACGUGCCCAGUCGUGGGGGAUAACUACUCGAAAGAGUGGCUAAUACCGCAUACGACCUGAGGGUGAAAGCGGGGGCCCGUAAGGCCUCGCGCGAGUGGAGCGGCCGAUAUCAGAUUAGCUAGUUGGUGGGGUAAAAGCCCACCAAGGCGACGAUCUGUAGCUGGUCUGAGAGGACGACCAGCCACACUGGGACUGAGACACUGCCCAGACUCAUACGGGAGGCAGCAGUGGGGAAUUUUGGACAAUGGACGCAAGUCUGAUCCAGCCAUGCCGCGUGCGGGAAGAAGGCCUUCGGGUUGUAAACCGCUUUUGUCAGGGAAGAAACGAGUUUCUCUAAUACAGAGACUUAAUGACGGUACCUGAAGAAUAAGCACCGGCUAACUACGUGCCAGCCGCCGCGGUAUAC
rnacentral:rRNA from 1 species